rnacentral:tRNA from 1 species
GGAGAGGUGCCCGGAGUGGUUUAUCGGGGACCGACGAGCUCGCCUCGAGGUCGGAUCCUUAUGGGGUCCACGCAGGUUCAAAUCCUGCCCUCUCCGCCA